AUGUGAUAGAGUUUGAGAUAAUAGAUGUAUAUGUUGAGCACAUUGUAAACAAUCAUGAAAUAAUAGAUCCAAGUGAUAUAUGUACCAACUUUGAUGAUGAUGAAGAAGUACAAUGCACUGGUGUUAAAAAUGCAAAUUAUGUUGAUGAAGAAGUGAAUAUUCAUAAUGAGCAUGUUGAAGAACGUGUAAGUCCCAUUAUUGAUGGAAAUACUGAGCUUGUUGAAGAACAUGUAAGUCCUAAUGUUGGUGGAAAUACUGAGCUUGUUGAACAAGGAAUAAAUGAAGAAUAUGUUGCAAGUGAUGAUAGUUAUGAGGAUAGUAAAUUUCAAUGUACUGAAGAGUCUGAGGAGAUGGAAUGGAUUAAAGUACUACCCCCUGAGACUCUAGGUGAGCUUUUCAAUGGCAACAAAGAGAAAGAAGCAAUUAAUAUUGAUCAAGAAAAAUGUGAAGAUUUUGACCAUUUAUAUAUCCCUCGUGAGAGUGAUGAUGAUGAUGAGGGAGUGAGGUUUCCCACUAAUAAGAUUGGUUAG